UACGGAGGGUGCAAGCGUUGUUCGGAAUCACUGGGCGUAAAGGGCGUGUAGGCGGUCCGCUAAGUCUGAUGUGAAAGCCCGGGGCUCACCCCCGGAAGGGCAUUGGAAACUGGCGGACUCGAGUCUCGGAGAGGAAGGUGGAAUUCCUGGUGUAGCGGUGAAAUGCGUAGAUAUCAGGAGGAACACCUGCGGCGAAGGCGGGUUGCUGGGCUGACACUGACGCUGAGGAGCGAAAGCGUGGGGAGCGAACAGG
rnacentral:rRNA from 1 species